AUUGAACGCUGGCGGCAGGCCUAACACAUGCAAGUCGAACGAGUGGGGGGCGGGUGUGUAAUGUCUGGGAAACUGCGCGAUGGAGGGGGAGAACUACGGGAAACGAUAGCUAAUACCGCAUACGCUCGGGUGUGCCCAGAUGGGAUUAGCUAGUAGGUGGGGUAAAGGCUCACCUAGGCGACGAUCCCUCGCUGGUCUGAGAGGAUGACCAGCCACACUGGAACUGAGACACGGUCCAGACUCCUACGGGAGGCAGCAGUGGGGAAUAUUGCACAAUGGGCGCAAGCCUGAUGCAGCCAUGCCGCGUGUAUGAAGAAGGCCUUCGGGUUGUAAAGUACUUUCAGCGGGGAGGCGUUACCCGCAGAAGAAGCACCGGCUAACUCCGUGCCAGCAGCCGCGGUAAUUC
rnacentral:rRNA from 1 species